UACGUAGGGUGCAAGCGUUGUCCGGAAUUAUUGGGCGUAAAGAGCUCGUAGGCGGCUAGUCGCGUCGGCUGUGAAAACCUGGGGCUCAACCCCGGGCCUGCAGCCGAUACGGGCUAGCUAGAAUUCGGUAGGGGAGACUGGAAUUCCUGGUGUAGCGGUGAAAUGCGCAGAUAUCAGGAGGAACACCGGUGGCGAAGGCGGGUCUCUGGGCCGAUAUUGACGCUGAGGAGCGAAAGCGUGGGGAGCGAACACG
rnacentral:rRNA from 1 species